UACGAACGGAGCAGGUGUUAUUCAGAUUCACUGGGCGUAAAGGGUGCGUAGGUGGUUUGUUAUGUGUACUAUAAAAUUAUAAAGCAUAACUUUAUACUGUCGUGUAGACAACUAAACUAGAGUUAGGUAGAGGGUAGUAGAAUUUCUAGUGUAAAGGUGAAAUUUGAUAAAUUUAGAGAGAAUACCAAUGGCGUAGGCAACUACCUAGGCCUUAACCGACACUGAGGUGCGAAGGUAUGGGUAGCAAAUAGG
rnacentral:rRNA from 1 species